rnacentral:rRNA from 1 species
AAGUCGAGGGGCAGCAUGAACUUAGCUUGCUAAGUUUGAUGGCGACCGGCGCACGGGUGAGUAACACGUAUCCAACCUGCCGAUGACUCGGGGAUAGCCUUUCGAAAGAAAGAUUAAUACCCGAUAGCAUAAGAUUUCCGCAUGGUUUUCUUAUUAAAGAUUCAUCGGUAACCGAUGGGGAUGCGUUCCAUUAGAUAGUAGGCGGGGUAACGGCCCACCUAGUCGACGAUGGAUAGGGGUUCUGAGAGGAAGGUCCCCACAUUGGAACUGAGACACGGUCCAAACUCC